rnacentral:rRNA from 1 species
GUGCCAGCCGCCGCGGUAAUACAGAGGGUGCAAGCGUUAAUCGGAAUUACUGGGCGUAAAGCGAGCGUAGGUGGCUUAAUAAGUCAGAUGUGAAAGCCCCGGGCUUAACCUGGGAACGGCAUCUGAUACUGUUAGGCUAGAGUAGGUGAGAGGGAGGUAGAAUUUCAGGUGUAGCGGUGAAAUGCGUAGAGAUCUGAAGGAAUACCGAUGGCGGAGGCAGCCUCCUGGCAUCAUACUGACACUGAGGUUCGAAAGCGUGGGUAGCAAACAGGAUUAGAUACCCCAGUAGUCC